GACGAACGCUGGCGGCGUGCUUAACACAUGCAAGUCGAGCGGUAAGGCCCUUUCGGGGGUACACGAGCGGCGAACGGGUGGGUAACACGUGGGUGACCUGCCCUCAGCUCUGGGAUAAGCCUGGGAAACUGGGUCUAAUACCGGAUAUGACUCCAUGACGCAUGUUGUGGGGUGGAAAGCCUUGUGCGGCUGGGGAUGGGCCCGCGGCCUAUCAGCUUGUUGGUGGGGUGAUGGCCACCAAGGCGACGACGGGUAGCCGGCCUGAGAGGGCGACCGGCCACACUGGGACUGAGACACGGCCCAGACUCCUACGGGAGGCAGCAGUGGGGAAUCUUGCGCAAUGGGCGAAAGCCUGACGCAGCGACGCCGCGUGAGGGAUGACGGCCU
rnacentral:rRNA from 1 species